ensembl:snRNA U5 U5 spliceosomal RNA
AUGCUCUGGUUUCUCUUCAGAUCGUAUAAAUCUUUCGCCUUUUACUAAAGAUUUCCGUGGAGAGGAACAAUUCUGAGUUUUAAACCAAUUUUUCGAAGUCCUGUAAUUUACAGGACU